GUCUCCAUUACUAACAAUCCCUUUCCCCCAUAUUAUAAUUAGUUAAAUAUUAUAAUGUAAGUAAAAUAUUACAUUCGCUUGCAGUGGAUCCGUAAACCAGUGCAUUAGCAUCUACGACCUGAAGGGCAACUUGCUCAACACGAUCAAGUCGCACGAGGGAUUCAUGGCCGCGCGUAUCGGACCCGUCUCCUGUCUCACCUUCCAUCCGCUGAGGUGUGCGCUGGGCAUGGGCUCGAAGGACUCGACGGUGACGGUGUACGUGUCGGAGGCGCGCCGGUGACCCUCGCUCUACAGCCUCGCGCUGCCGCUGCCCUUCCAGUGAGCGGUCGCCGCGCACCCGCCGCCGCCACGCUCGCCACAACCACCACACCCACCACACCCACCACACCCACCGCCGCCACGCGCCGCGCUAGGGGUGGCGCCAGGUGGCGGGCGCGGCGUGAAGUCGUCAGUACACAGCGUACUGUGAGCGGGCGACCUCCGCGGACCUUACUCGUUGCAAGUGGUGUUAGCGCGACCUGGUCGGACCACAUACAACUAUAUUUAUUAUCAAUAAGACAGAGUAAGUUCACGUUAUAGAAACAAUUAUUGUUAAGUGGCGUUAAUGAAAUCAAUUAUAAAAUACGCUAAUGGAAUACGUAUUGUAAAUGUCGCUAGUAAAAACGUAUAACCGUGUAUAAAUAUAGGGCGGCGGCUAAUACGAACACUUGGUGCUACAGUAUACCUUUAAUGUUUAUUGUUGUUGAACGGAGCGCGGCCGCUCCCGCUGCUGCAUCGACCGCCACGGGCCGCGCUGUACGGACGCAUACGACAAGGCGGACGCUACGGACGCUACGGACGCUAGGCGGCCGGUACACGAUAGCUUCUAUUGGCUGUUACCGAGUCACGUGAGCGAUUAUAAAAAUUAUGAAAUAAGUUUUACAAUAUUCUCAUACUUGGGCGUAAAUAUCUUGAGCAUAUUCCAAAUAUGAGACUUUGUACAAAAGUCGAUUGCUUGGGUACCUCAGUCCCAUUCGUUGUUUCAACCGUGAAGCAGUUGUGUUUGCAUGGCUGUGUUUCGGUUUGAAG
rnacentral:lncRNA from 1 species